GAGCGCACGCCGGAGGAGAGGAACGCCAGCCGCGGCCGCGGGCUGGCAGCGGAGAGGAGUGCCGGCCGCAGGGUGCCGUCGACCGAGAACAAGCACAGGUACGCAAAGGAUUUUGGGUGUUGGUCUGGAGUUGUAUUUGAUUUUGGGUCUCUAUUUUUUGCAGGCCAGCAUGCAAAUAAAAAAAAUAGAGGCCCAAUUUGCAUGCUGGGCUGGAGUUGCUCUAAGGCUUCGUUUAGUUCUAAAAAAUUUGUCAAAUUUUUCAGAUUCCCCAUAAAGCGCCUCUAAUAAACCAGGAACUCAAAUGUGAUACAAUACUUGUCCCAGGAGGCUAGUAACACAUUUAUUACAUCAGAUAAGUUUCAGCGCAGUAGUCUUGGAAAGCGUGGACAAAGAAGGCACGCUAUAAUAAUAAGACACCAAAAUACAACAUUGGUCCAAAGGACCCAGAAACGAACGAUAUCGCCAUCGAACAUCUGACGAGUCCCAAUGCCACAGGCUUAGUUGGGUGCAGACACGACCUUACUCGAACGCCACUUCGAGAUCGAAGUCCGGAUCUUCCUCUGUUUAAUAAAGCAAGGGUGAGUACAAAGUACUCAGCAAAUCCAACCUUACCUGCGGAAGGGGAUAACAAUAUAUAUGCAUAUGGAUAAAUCAAGGAUGAGGCUUAGUUUUAUUUGCAUAAAGCUAUCUUUUUACACAUGCAAGGUUUUAUUUUACAAAUAAUGUUGUAAAAGACCUCUUUUUCCACAUAUGAUAGCAUUUCUGAAAAUAGGGGUUUGAACACAAUUUUAAGUGUUGUUGAACCUUUGUUCCCGCAAAACAAUGGCAGUCAACCAUUUAUUUCCAAAAUCACACUCUCUCACAUGUUUUCACUCCUACCAACCCAUCUAGUUGUUGAAACCAAACCAUAACCCGUCCGAGACCGCAGACACGGCUAUCCAGAUAGAUUUACACUCUGCAGAGGUUGUACACUGUUCCCACAAGUAGGAUACCAUAACUUACACCGUCGUGCAAGCACAGAUCCAUCAAAGUCAUUACCCUCCAUACCUAAGUAAUAGCGCUCACCACGGGAACACUAAGGCCACAUCUCAUGAUACCACAAUAAUUCACAAAGCUCUUUUCAUAUAUUUCCACAAUUUCACAUACAUUACUUAGUGUCCCGUUGCACACCUGCCUCCAGGUGAUUGUCAUACUAACUAGAGGGAUUUAGACUAAGCCUUUCCCAUGCAAGGCGAGUGGUUGUACGAUAAAUGAGUUAGGCAAGAUGAAUCAUCAACUCAGUCCUUAAUCGAGACAAGGCGGAUAUCUUCACGCUUAACCACGCAAGGUAUAAGCCACAACACCAGAGCAUCCCCAAAAGAGAUCCCAUCCGCCCCAUCUCCAUAGUAAUCACAUCUAUAACUUGUUCAUUAACCCUUUCACAAUACCCACAAUUUAUUUUCACCACUCACACCUUUUACUUUUAAAAUCAUUAUAUUUGAAAAAUAUAGCGAUGAGUAUUCAGAAUGAGUAACAAGUCCUAAGCAUACUAAAUAAUAAUAUUUCUGUCAUAGCAUAUUAUUUGUUCCUAGGUUCGAUCAAGACAAUUACCGGGUAAUAUCAACUCACGGAUGGCUAUUCAACAGGUUUUAACUAAGCAGCAAAAAUACUUCGUACAUAUAUCGUACAUGCAAUAUUUAAAACGGCUUCUACGGGUUGUGUUUAAAAAUAGGAUCAAUAUGCAUCAAAGGGGAUCGGUUGGACUUGCCUCCGUCAGCGUCCUCAGCAAACUCUUGCUGACAGUCCGGGUCCUCGGCAUCAAACUCGCGGUACUCGUCUCCAACGUUCUCGUUUUCCGGCUCGUUCACUCCGUCAACUAAAAUACGCGACGAACGACACAGACAACAGGCACAGAUAAAUAAUCAUAUAAAUUCAAAUGAGCUCCAAAAAUCAUAAAAUUAAUAUGAGAGGUAGAUCAUGAUUUUAGAUUAAUUUAGGAAAAAGAAUUAUUAAAAUCAGAGUUAGCAUGUGGCAUUUGUGAAAUGGCCGGACUUUAAUCAUGCGAAAAAGGCUAACGAUGAUUAAGAAAUACAUGCUUCACGAGAUAAAUUUUGGCUGGUAGUGCAUGUUGCAUGCAUGUACUAUUUGGAGUUAAUACUUAUGGCCCACGCAUGCAUGGUUAGAGAGAAAUUAGCAGGGGUCAUUAGAGCUCUUCUGUAUGUCAUGGUUCUAUUCGUGGAGUUCUUAGCAGUGAACCGGUACAGACAAAUACAAGAAAAAAUACAGAAAAAUACUAUAGAAAGACAGAGAAGAGCAAGAAGAUGCUUCUGAGCUGCUCACCUCGUCUUGCGACGACAGUCGAGCUCGGCUUGUGCGUAUGGCCGUAUACGGUAUACGCGAAGUGAGAGCGAGUGAGCGAGUGAGUGAACGUGCUUCUCGGGUGGUGAGAGUGAGCACCCGAGGCUGGCUUUUUAUAGGCCAAAGCUCUCAGCUGCGUGCCAUUAAAAAUGCUACUGUAGCGCAUGGUCGGUGCCUAAUUUGCAUGCACGAUGCAUGCAAAUGGACGGUGCCUAAUCACCGUGUCCUUGCAUGCAGGUGCAUGCAAAUGGACGGUGCCUAAUCACCGUGUCCUUGCAUGCAAGUGCAUGCAAAUGGACGGUGCGUGAUGUCCUGCAUUCAUGCAUGCAUGCAUGAGAUAUAUUCGUGUGUUUGCACUGCUAUGUUUUCUUGCAUUUAAGUUUGCUGGUACUCGCUGUUAUUUAUGCGCACGAAAAAUAUAGAUGGUGCCUAAUUGAGCGCUGCGACUUGCUCUCUUUUUGUACAGCAAAAGAGGAGCAGGGAAAAGACAAGAGGUGGGGCCCGCAUGUCGUGGUGCGCGCGCGAGCGAGCAAGAGGGAUAAGUAGCGGACAUAUGAUGCUCAUGCCAUGUGGUGCAGGUUAUAUUUAAAGAUGGAUAAUUAGGAUGGAUUAGAUGAAGAUACUAUAGAGCUCAAAUUAUUUUAUAGUUUUUGAAAUAUAUUUUGAAAAUAAUUUUUAAUGCGAGUGAUUUUUGAAUGUGAAUUUUUGGAUGUUACAAACCUACCCCACUUAAAAGGAAUCUCGUCCUCGAGAUUCGGCUGGGUCCUAAAUAGAUGGGGAAACUCUUUUCUCAGGGCAUCUUCUCUUUCCCAUGUUGCUUCUGCUUCAGUGUGUCUACUCCACUGAACACGACAAAUUCGGACUGUUGUCGUUCGAGUUUGCUUGGUGACUGUAUCUAGGAUUUUUAUUGGCACUUCUUGAUAUCAUAUGUCGUCUUGUAAAUCAACUGUGUCUGGCGAUAUUUGUUCCUCUGGUACUCUAAGACAUUUCUUCAAUUGGGAGACAUGAAACACAUUGUGUAUAUCUGACAUUUCUUCAGGUAGCCGAACACGAUAAGCUACAACACCAAUCCUCUGUAAUACUUGAUAUGGUCCAAUAUACCGAGGUGCUAGCUUG
rnacentral:lncRNA from 1 species